AGAGUUUGAUCCUGGCUCAGAUUGAACGCUGGCGGUAUGCUUAACACAUGCAAGUCGAACGGGAAACGAUGGGAAGCUUGCUUCCAGGCGUCGAGUGGCGGACGGGUGAGUAACGCGUAGGAAUCUGCCUGAUAGUGGGGGAUAGCCCGGAGAAAUUCGGAUUAAUACCGCAUAAUCUACACGUAGUAAAGGAGGCCUCUAUUUAUAAGCUUUCGCUAUCAGAUGAGCCUGCGUAAGAUUAGCUUGUUGGUGAGGUAAAAGCUCACCAAGGCGACGAUCUUUAGCUGGUCUGAGAGGAUGAUCAGCCACACUGGGACUGAGACACGGCCCAGACUCCUACGGGAGGCAGCAGUGGGGAAUAUUGGACAAUGGGGGCAACCCUGAUCCAGCAAUACCGCGUGUGUGAAGAAGGCCUGAGGGUUGUAAAGCACUUUCAAUUGGGGAAGAAAAGCCUUAAAGGUUAAUAACCUUUAGCCUUGACCCUAACCUUUAGAAGAAGCACCGGCUAACUCCGUGCCAGCAGCCGCGGUAAUACGGGGGGGUGCAGCGUUAAUCGGAAUUAGUGGGGUAAAGCGUGCCGUAGGUGGUUUGUUAAGUCCUGAUCUGAAAGCCCCGGGCUCACCCUGGGAACUGCAUUUGAAACUGGCAAACUAGAGUAUAGGAGAGGAAAGUGGAAUUUCAGGUGUAGCGGUGAAAUGCGUAGAUAUCUGAAGGAACAUCAAUGGCGAAGGCAGCUUUCUGGACUAAUACUGACACUGAGGUACGAAAGCGUGGGUAGCAAACAGGAUUAGAUACCCUGGUAGUCCACGCCGUAAACGAUGACAACUAGCCGUUGGGAGGGUUUACCUCUUAGGGCGAAGCUAACGCGUUAAGUGUCCGCCUGGGGAGACGGCCGCAAG
rnacentral:rRNA from 1 species